UUGCAGAGAGCAGACGUGUGGACGGAGCAGUGAACUGGAGAGUUGAGUGUUCUCUCAAGGCAGUUGUGAGACAUGCUGCAGAGCUAAGGCAGUGGGGUGCUUGCUGGAGAGUGGGCAUGAGAUGCCGCAGCCGGGGACCAGACAUCAGCAGGCCCAUGCGUAGGCGCGGACGUCGUGCCCAUUUUUAGGAGACAGCAGGGUCUCCAGAUGGAAUUUCAAUAUUCACAUUAACACAUGGGUCUCCAGAUGGAAUUUCAAUAUUCACAUUAACACAUGGUAAGUAUAAACACAAGUAUUUAUUUAUCCCAAACACAAUGUAAUGGUGAAUGUAUACCUUUACUAUAAAUCCUGGUAAAAAUAAUUAUAUGUUUAUCCCAUACAACUAUUUCCCAUUCAGGACCCUAUACAAAUUGUCUGCAUGCAUACACAAAAAUUACCUUAAUGCUAGUAUAAGAGUGACCCGGGUACUCAUAAGAUAGUAGUGCACUACAAUGGUAAAAACUAAUAAAAGUGAAAAAAGAAUGGAUACUAAACAUUUCACAUUACAUAUUUAGUCAUAUAAGAACCUCCUCUCUUUUUCUCAGUCUGUGAGGAAUGUGAUUUUCUCCAUGCAGAAUGCUAUUGUAACAAUUACUGACAACUAUGUUGCAAUGAAUUUCCAACUAUGUUUCUCUUCUUAUUAGUGGAGAAAAGGGUUGUUUUUCCUCAGAUGUAUAUUACAUCAGCUGUCCAUUAA